UACGGAGGGAGCUAGCGUUGUUCGGAAUUACUGGGCGUAAAGCGCGCGUAGGCGGCUUUGUACGUUAGAGGUGAAAGCCUGGAGCUCAACUUCAGAAUUGCCUUUAAGACUGCAUCGCUUGAAUCCGGGAGAGGUGAGUGGAAUUCCGAGUGUAGAGGUGAAAUUCGUAGAUAUUCGGAAGAACACCAGUGGCGAAGGCGGCUCACUGGACCGGCACUGACGCUGAGGUGCGAAAGCGUGGGGAGCAAACAGG
rnacentral:rRNA from 1 species